rnacentral:rRNA from 1 species
AGAUACCCCACUAUGCCUAGCCGUAAAAAAUUUAUUUACAUCAACAAGCGCCAGGGAAUUACGAGCGUAAGCUUAAAAUCCAAAGGAUUUGACGGUGUCCCACCCACCUAGAGGAGCCUGUUCUAUAAUCGAUAAUCCUCGAUAUACCCAACCAUUUCUUGCUUUUCAGCCUGUAUACCUCCGUCGCAAGCUUACCAUUUGAAUGUAAAAGAGUAAGUUUAAGGAUUCCCCAUCAAUACGUCAGGUCAAGGUGCAGCCAAUGUAAUGGAAAGUAAUGGGCUACAAUUUCUAUAAUAGAACAAACGAAACACUGCAUGAAAAACAGUCAUGAAGGCGGAUUUAGUAGUAAAAGGAGAAUAGAGAGCUCCUUUUAACAAGGCCCUGGGACGUGUACACACCGCCCGU